rnacentral:rRNA from 1 species
AUUGAACGCUGGCGGCAUGCCUUACACAUGCAAGUCGAACGGUAACAGGUCUUCGGAUGCUGACGAGUGGCGAACGGGUGAGUAAUACAUCGGAACGUGCCCGAUCGUGGGGGAUAACGGAGCGAAAGCUUUGCUAAUACCGCAUACGAUCUACGGAUGAAAGCAGGGGACCGCAAGGCCUUGCGCGGACGGAGCGGCCGAUGGCAGAUUAGGUAGUUGGUGGGAUAAAAGCAUACCAAGCCGACGAUCUGUAGCUGGUCUGAGAGGACGACCAGCCACACUGGGACUGAGACACGGCCCAGACUCCUACGGGAGGCAGCAGUGGGGAAUUUUGGACAAAGGGCGCAAGCCUGAUCCAGCCAUGCCGCGUGCAGGAUGAAGGCCUUCGGGUUGUAAACUGCUUUUGUACGGAACGAAAAGACUCUUUCUAAUAAAGAGGGUCCAUGACGGUACCGUAAGAAUAAGCACCGGCUAACUACGUG